rnacentral:rRNA from 1 species
AUUGAACGCUGGCGGCAGGCCUAACACAUGCAAGUCGAGCGAGCGGAGGACGGGUGAGUAAUGUAUGGGGACUGCCCGAUAGAGGGGGAGAACUACUGGAAACGGUGGCUAAUACCGCAUACUGCCGGCUAACACAUAUGGGAUUAGCUAGUAGGUAAGGUAAUGGCUUACCUAGGCGACGAUCCCUAGCUGGUCGGUGAGGAUGACCAGCCACACUGGGACUGAGACACGGCCCAGACUCCUACGGAGGCAGCAGUGGGGAAUAUUGCACAAUGGGCGCAAGCCUGAUGCAGCCAUGCCGCGUGUAUGAAGAAGGCCCUAGGUUUGUAAAGUACUUUCAGUCGGGAGGCGUUACCGACAGAAGAAGCACCGGCUAACUCCGUGCCAGCAGCCGCGGUAAUUC